rnacentral:lncRNA from 1 species
AACGCUGCUCCUUUCUGUUGUGUUCGUCACACUUCUUUCUGGAAUGCCUCUGGGUAUUACCUGCAGUUUCCUUUGUUACAACUCAGGACUAUCUGGGUGAGCAGAAAACAGUGUCCUGUGAAAUGAUUAGUUGAAUUUAUCAGUCUUAAGUUCUCGUUUCUUUUUUACUUGGGAUCAGAACGUUCUUCCUGUCGGCAUGCAGAGCUCCUGGGAAGAAACGUUUUACAGUCAGCACUUCUUGGAGAAUAAGGACAAGUAACAGGAUUUUUACUGCUGUUACUCUGGUCACAGCAAUGAGAAUGAAGCGCUAUCACA